AUAUGCCUGCGAUGUUCGAUUCAUUUUCUUUGUUUCGAACCGUAACAAUAAAAAGGGAGUCUUAUAUUAAGCCAUGGACACUAUGCUCACAUUGAUGAGACAGUGGAAAUGACUUUGCGGACACCCACCUGCGAGAGCGGGUUUUGAAACAUGAGGAUGAAACGGCAUAGGCGGGGUUUUA
rnacentral:other from 2 species